AGUGAACGCUGGCGGUAGGCCUAACACAUGCAAGUCGAACGGCAGCACAGUAAGAGCUUGCUCUUACGGUUGGCGAGUGGCGGACGGUUGAGGAAUACAUCGGAAUCUACUUUUUCGUGGGGGAUAACGUAGGGAAACUUUCGCUAAUACCGCAUAUUACCUACGGGUGAAUGCAGGGGAUCUUCGGACCUUGCGCGAUUGAAUGAGCCGAUGUCGGAUUAGCUAGUUGGCGGGUUAACGGCCCACCAAGGCAACGAUCCGUAGCUGGUCUGAGAGGAUGAUCGGCCACACUGGAACUGAGACACGGUCCAGACUCCUACGGGAGGCAGCAGUGGGGAAUAUUGGGCAAUGGGCGCAAGCCUGACCCAGCCAUACCGCGUGGGUGAAGAAGGCCUUCGGGUUGUAAAGCCCUUUUGUUGGGAAAGAAAAGCUGCAUGUUAAUACCCCGCUAUUCUGACGGUACCCAAAGAAAAAGCACCGGCUAACUACGUG
rnacentral:rRNA from 1 species